rnacentral:tRNA from 1 species
GGACGUGUGGUGUAAUGGUAACACUUCUGUCUCAGUAUUCCAACAGAACUACUGGUUCGAGUCCAGUCGCGUCUA